GUCAGGGACAUGACCGGCGGGCACCGACAUUUUGGAGAUAUUAUGUCACAAAGGAGUAGUUCUGGCCCUGGGGUGCCUCCCUGCAGGAGCCCUCCACGAGGCUGACCCCUGCUGGCAGCUCCACGAUUAGCAGGCCCCGAGGAGUCCGGAUGUGGAGGGACGAAUCUCCUCCUGUAACGCUCACCUCUGCAUAGCUCGUAGCCACAUCUCUCCUGAGGGAGGGACAGACAGAGUCUUAUUUUUCUAAACACAGCUCAAAGUAGAAGUCUAAUGAGUUAAGAGGAAAACUUGCAAAGAGAAAGGAUGCACUCACUGCUCUGAAGAAGGGAAAAGGAAAACAGCUGUAGGCAAACUGAAGAGAGAGAAAUAAAGAGAUUUAUAUUGUGUGUGUGUGUGUGUGUGUGUAAGAAAGAGAAAUUAAGGAAGAAAAAAAGAGUGGAGGGUAGGGGAAAGCGCAUGUACAAUGUUGGUCUAAUACAGAAAAUGUUUUUUUCCCCCUGGCAGCGACACCCCUGAUGCACUCAUGCACAGAUGAUAUGUUGCCCUCUGCUCAAUCUCUGGGUUCGAUGCAAUUAUUUCACUAACCAUGCAAUGCGUCUCUGUCCAUGCUUGACACAACUGCUGUCCCCCAGGAAGAAAAACAUAUUUCCCAGCGAAGACAGCAUUAAAGACUUGGGUCGGAUGCAUUGAAUUUUCUCACUUCCAAUCGAGUGGAGGAAGCAACAACAAACAACUGGAAGGAACCAUCAUCAGACUUGCUCUAAAUUAUUCUGUCUACAAUUAGAUAUUUCGACACAAGUCUACUUCAUAUAGGCUACUACUGCCACACCAGACAAUACACAAGCGAUUGGUAAAACAAGGGUCUCUAACCAGUAAACCUGCUCUUUUUUACAAGAUAUUAUCCAACUAUAUAACAAUUAGGCUAUGCAGCAAAGCACCGACUAGGCUAUAGGCCUGACCUACAGAAUCCCACACCAAUAAACUGUAACACAUUUAGGGGA